ensembl:lncRNA
UAGAGAGGAAGCAGGAAAUGCAGAGAACAGUGGGAAAGCAUGGCUACACCUGUGUAAUCAUUCAUGUGGAAUCCAAAGCAAUCCUUCAAAGGAGUCCUUCAGAAAGCAGUAGUCAGCAUAAAGUCAUCACAGCUGACUCUGGACAGGAUGUCACUGUGCCAUGUCAAGCUCCAAACGACAACAACAACUUAGUUGUCGUUUGGGACAGAGCUGAACUGAAGUCAGAAUAUGUCCUUUUAUACCAGGAUGAGUUGAUUGUUCCAGACAACCAGCAUCCAUCUUUUGUGAAUCGGACAGAUCUGCAGGACAGACAGAUGAAGGAUGGAGACGUGUCUUUGAUUCUGAAGGAUGUGAAUACUGAUGACACUGGAAUGUACGAGUGUUAUGUCAUCCGGGGAUUCAGAAAACAUACGAUUCUUAUCGGCAAAAUCUACCUUUAUGUUGUUCCUCCAGGUCACACAGGAGGAGACACAGAGGAUGGAUCUCUUAGACUGAUCCUUCACCUGUCAGUUCCUGCUGUGGUUCUGGUGUUAAUUAUCCUUAAACUACAGAAACAUUGUGUGAUAUUUUGGAAGCUGUGAUCCAUUCUUGCACGGGGUGGGGGCCAAUGUUCCCUCUAAGCUGCACACGUGCGCAAUUGCGCACUGCUGGCACGGUCUCUGCGCACAAAAAAUCUGCGUUGCGCACAAAAAAAAUCUAACCUGAACUGAAAUUAAAAUUAAUACUUUAACAAUUCUGUUUUGCAGUGUUAGUCAGUGAGUGACUGGCUGCUCCCGUAUGGGAUUAGAAUGAUGCCACCUUAUCCAACAGUCCAGCCAAUAACGCGAUUCACAUUCGUAUAUACGCAGCCAACCAACGUCACUGACAGGCUAUGACAGCGUCCUUAUGUGCCGACACCGGUGUUUUAGCUGGCAAAGCGGUGUGGCUGAUGUGAAGUUAAUGACAAUGUGUACAACCAUUGGAGAGGUGAGAAGGACAGAUGGAAAAAUUGAAAAAGGGAAACGUGUGGACUUUAUACCAGUUUUUUAAAUUGUGCUGAUAGGGCACGUAAAACCAGAGUUGAUAAAAAUAUCUUCAAUGUUUGGUUUUCUUCCUGAAUGCGAUCGUUGUUUAUAUUUACUGCGGGAAGAAACGGUAAAAAUGCCGUUUUAUAAGGAAAAAUGCUCAAAAGCGCUCUCCACCUGUGAGCAAAAACAAACCCCACCCCCCUGUCCCUUUCCUAUUCCUCCAAAAAAGUACCAUGUCGACCAAUCAAAAAAUGAUAUGGCAACGCGGCAUCUAGUUGUUAAGAAACGGGGGGGAGAGUUUUAGGAGUGACGGCAGUGUUUUGAGAUGUGAGAGAUUUGAGACGUUUAGUGCAAAUCUUGUGUAGUUAGUGUGUAGUGUAGUCAAUAGUUUUGUUGUGUGUGUCAGAACAAUGAGGCGACUGCUGAAUGUUACAGGUGUUACAGCAGUGAUACAUCUCCUGCUGUGUGGCCUGCAGAUAUCAGGCUGUUGUUCUCCUUUAUCUCAUAGUGGACAGAAAUAAUUUUUGGAGAGGCACAAAUAAUUUUUGUGGCAUCAGAUUUGAUGCAGAACAGCUGAUUGUUCUGUAAAUAGUUUGAAAUGUUUAUUUAAAAAACGCCUUGGCUGCAUUUAAAAAAAUAGCUGCAAAAACUUUGUUGUUUGCCAAACUCAGUUACUUUUUUGAAGAAGUAACUAUAUAAUUAAUUGCCCGACUGUUACGUCCCUCUGCAUCCCCUAAUCUCCUCAAUGUUUUCAGCUGGUGCUAAUUGGCCACACCUAGUCAGGUGUGGAUAAAAGCAUACCUGAGGCAAGCUUCCCAGGGAGCUCACUUGUCUUUGCCUUGGUGGCACCAGCCAUUUUAGCGAACCUGUUGUGCCAUUUUAAGUUAAAAGCCUCUUCUCAUCUACACUCUAUUCGUCUCCUUUUUUUAUGUUGCGGCUUUUGAGCCGGGGCGUAACAUAAGUGGGGGCUCAUCCGGGAUUGUUUGGAUGUUUCUUGGGGACUGAAUAUCAGGUUUUUUGUAUUUCUUUAAGUGGGUGAGUGAAGGUGUUCACUGUGAUUGAGCAACGUCCCUUUAGUUAGUGUGUUUCAGCUGGGUGGCUGUGCUGCCCUUCCAUCGAAGCACUUGUUUGUUGUUUUGCUUUGUUGUUUUAGUUUUUUGUGUUUGGUGGUUAUCCUGGGUGGGGUUACGCUUCAGGGUUUGGUGGGAGACUGUACCCCUGGUCUGCUGCCUACCCUUGAGUUUGCGUUUAAAGAUGCCUCGAGCCCGGUACACCAAUGAAGACUAGACAGGUAAAGUUUUAUUGGGUUUUUUUAGCGUUUUAGGCUGGGAGUUGCUCAAAGUGAAUUAGUGGCACCAAACUUGGCAGGAGGUUAAGACAUGGUCUUGUAGCUGAGGCGGGUAGGUUGUUUUUAAGUUGGCAUAGUGUGUACACUGUGUGUGAAUAUGUCAGUGUUGAUGGAUGCUAAUAAGAUCCUUGUGAGGUGAGUGUUUUGUGCUGUGACCUUUAGUGUUGUGGGGAAUAUGACUACACAGGUCAAUGACUAGAUUUUUUAAAAAUUUCAUUGUAAGUGGGCUAAAGCAGUUAUUUAAAAGUAGUCCAACAUAAAUGUAAAUGUUGUAAUAAACCAUGUAACUUGGAUGGAUUAGAUGCUGGCGUGACCACAGUGCACACGUCUGAUGUUGCUCACAGUGGUCCAAGGGAUCGCUCAGGGAGUUUGUGUGUUCGCUCAGACACAUGAAAAAUUAGAGGGAACAUUGGUGGGGGCUGAUCAGGCAGAUUUUAUUCACUGUAAGUACAAAUGUAAUAUAAAAUCAUAUACUGGAUAUCAUAUGUAUACCAUGUGAUAUCACAUGUCAAACACCUCUGUCUACAUAGAUAGACAGAGGUGUUUGAAUAUAAUACCAAAGGAAACUCCUUUUGUCUUUUGCUUUUCUUUGAAGUGUGUUAAAACUCUCUUUUUUAAGUGUUGUCUAGGGAAAGGGAAUGAGCUGCCUAGUGCAUUAGAAACAUACUGCCAUAGAAAGGUUUUACAAGGCUGUAUCUAUUAAACACCAAAUUGUGUAAAUUAUGUUCUAGAGGGUGUUUUUUAUUAUCUAUGUGGAUCUCUUAGGAUAUAUUUUUCAUACUCAACUCUUGGUUGUGUAUAUUUUCUCUCUCUCUCUGAGCCUAGGCUUGGUUGAGCAGAAAAGGCUCCACCUUUGGGUCGAGCCAAAAUCCUCUGCUCUUGGUCCAUGCACUUGUUGCUAGGGCUGCACGAUUAAUCGUUGGAAAAUCGCGAUCUCGAUUCAUACUUAUGUGCGAUCUUAUUUCCAAAUGACAACGAUUAAAAAAAAAAGAAAAAAAAAAAGACGACGACGAUUGUACCGCAUUUUGAUCCGGGACGUAAUCUGCAUGAAAACAAGCGCUCCCUCUUCCUGCUCAACAAAUGACAAGGGCGGAGCCUUAUACCACGUGAUACAGAAGCUGUGCCGUGAUGCUCAAAUUGGCAGGGAAAAACAACGGAGAACACGUCAGGGAUGACGAGAAAGUGACAGGAGAAAAUCGGUCCCGGUCAACCACCCAAACAUCAAUAACGGGAACCUUAUACAGCGCUUCCCUAUACACGUUGAACUCCCGCAGGCACAAAGAAAUUACGGAGGCUAUUACUUAUCACCUGACCAAAGAUAUAUCAACACUGUGCAAAACGAGGGAUUUAGGAAAAUGAUCAACACCCUAGACAAACGCUACACAGUGCCGUCCCGCAACUAUUUUUCUGUUGUUGCACUACCUGCUCUAUACACGCAGUGUCGAGCAACGGUGGAGACGGAAUUUCAAGCAGUACAACAUUUUGCGGCAACCACAAAAUGUGAGGCAUUUAUUGUUUUUAUGUUUAUUUAUUGUUUUAUGUUCAGUUUCAACUGUUACGAAGUUGAUGUGCAGUUAAUAAGUGCAAUAAAUAUUUAUAUUGGAAAAGAAAAUCGUGAGAGAAUCGUGAUCUCAAUUCUAAGCAAAAAAAUCGUGAUUCUCAUUUUAUGCAAAAUCGUGCAGCCCUACUUGUUGCUCAUUCACUUAACCAUG